CUAAACUCUAGGAAUAGAUUUGGGUUUAAUAUUCACUCAAAGUAUUUGAUCUUAAUGCUAUUGUAUUGAUUAAGCACCCGAGGGAUCGGGGUUUGAUAGGUACCAUAGAUUUCUCGGCGUUAUCUGGGAACGGAAACGUACGAUGAGUAAAUACGUGAUAAUAUUGAUAAAUGGCUAGAACCUGUGUAACUGAUUAAGGGAAUAUGUAUGAAUGAGUGAUUGAAAUCUAAUCCCAGCAAUUUCAUCUCUCUGUUAAUUUAGUCAUCUCUUGUCAUAGUUAUAUUUUCGCAACUUAUCGCAAACAAAUACCUUUCAACCACUUUACUUAAAAUUAUAUUAAUUGUUGAACGGCAUCGAUAUCGCAUCAGUCCCUGUGGAGACGAUAAAAAAUAUACUUACUUUUGUACUUCAACAAAAUGGCGCCGUUGCCGGGGACUGGCGUUUAGAUAUUGGAGCAUCGCAACAAU
rnacentral:lncRNA from 1 species